rfam:Culex pipiens quinquefasciatus supercont3.11 genomic scaffold, whole genome shotgun sequence.
GGCUCCGUGGCUUAAUGGUUACGGCUUCUGCCUCACAAGCAGAAGGUUCAGGGAACAAACCCCGGUCGGUACCC